GCCGAAAUAGCUCAGUUGGGAGAGCGUUAGACUGAAGAUCUAAAGGUCCCUGGUUCAAGUCCGGCUUUUGGCA